CCGAAAGGCGUAGUCGAUGGGAAACAGGUUAAUAUUCCUGUACUUGGUGUUACUGCGAAGGGGGGACGGAGAAGGCUAUGUUAGCCGGGCGACGGUUGUCCCGGUUUAAGCAUGUAGGCUGGUUGUCCAGGCAAAUCCGGAUAAUCAAGGCUGAGGUGUGAUGACGAGGCACUACGGUGCUGAAGUAACAAAUGCCCUGCUUCCAGGAAAAGCCUCUAAGCAUCAGGUAACAUUAAAUCGUACCCCAAACCGACACAGGUGGUCAGGUAGAGAAUACCAAGGCGCUUGAGAGAACUCGGGUGAAGGAACUAGGCAAAAUGGUGCCGUAACUUCGGGAGAAGGCACGCUGGUGUGUAGG
rnacentral:rRNA from 1 species